GCGAGUACAUUCGAUCGUCGCGAAGAACGUACAUGCUGCUGGCAGCCAUGCUUACAAUGUUUUGCAUUGCGGUGGCGGUUCUCAUGGCUUCCUCAGGCCACCGAAAGCAUUCCUGAGUAAAGUAUACGACAGUUAACUAUAAUCAUCUGAUAGAUCAAAACUAAAGAAAGAAGGGACACACGAAUUCAAGCCUUUGAGAUCUCAAUCAAAACUAAGAAAGAAGAAGAAGAAGAAGAAGAGAUGGACUUAUAGCAAGAAGAAAAACCCACUACAAAAGCAACUACUGGAAAUAACCAAUAGAUUUUAGGAGAUCUACCAAACGAUCUAGAGAUUCUUACCAGAUGCAAAGCAGUGACGAGCAGAUAGAACCAAUCCAUUCUCCAUAAAAAGUUUCGCCCGCAAGGUCGUCGAGAUUUCCUCGCAGUUGAGGAAUUCCGCGUGUCUGUCGAUCCAGAACUGAGAGGGAGGAGAGACCACUCACCGCCGCCUGUCGAUCCACCAGCGCUGGAGCGUGACGAAGAAAUCUUUCUCGCGGAGACGCAAUUGCUCGAUCGAUCGAGGCAACCAAGCCCUGACAGACAGGUGUGAAGAGCUAGAGGUGAAAUACAAAC
rnacentral:lncRNA from 1 species